UAAACAUUUUACCAUUCAGGGUGGCAGCGUAUGAUACAGUGGAGAAGAAGAUGGCAUUUUUUGAUCCUUCACGCGCAAAAGAUUUUCUCUUCAUCUCUGGAACUAAAAUGAGAACAUAUGCCCGGACUGGCGAGAACCCUCCUGCUGGAUUUAUGUGUCCUGGGGGGUGGAAAGUUCUUGUCAAAUAUUACGAGAGCUUGCAAGCAGAAGAGCCGCAGCCGGCUGCUGUAUCUUCUUGAUCACUCAAUUAAUUGCAGAAAUUGCUGCAAGUUAAUAUUCAAGAAGCCUCUUAUUAUUCUUAGCUCCAACUGAGGCACCAUUCAAUUUUAGUCUUGAGUAUCUAUUUUAAGAUUCAUUUUUCUCUUCAUGUUUUUUCAGAAACAUUGAGAUAGAGAAGAAAAAUAUUUUGGGAGCUUAUUUUGGCAGUUGAUGUAAGAAUAUAGUGAAAACAUUUGUUAUUUUAACAUUAAAGGGGGGCUGUCUGGUUAUUAAAAAAUAUUAUCUUAGAAAUAUAAAUGAAGAAUGUUUCUAUUUUUCAAAA